rnacentral:pre_miRNA from 1 species
AAAGUACUCCCUCCAUCCCAAAAUUCUUGUCUUGGAUUUGUCUAGAUACGGAUGUAUCAAGUCACAUUUUAGUAUUAGAUACAUCCGUAUCUAGACAAAUCUAAGACAAGAAAUUUGGGACAGAGGGAUUAGUUG